rnacentral:tRNA from 1 species
AAUAGAGUGCCUGAGUAAAAAGGGCUAUCUUGAUAGGAUAGAUAAUGUGUUUUCUUUCACCUCUAUUU